rnacentral:misc_RNA from 1 species
ACCUGGAUCCUGUUCGAAAGGAUCCGAGAACUUUCCUGGUAAGCAUCUGCUCAAUAAAAUUCUUGGGUUUCCAGCUAACUUAGGUUGGGGGUUUAACUGAACUGAAAAACCCACAGAGCGCAACUCUGAACGCUCGUGGAAGCAUUUUCGAGUGAAAAGUGGAAGAGGAGUACAUUUCCGAACAUGGGGAUUGUUUUGGGUAUGGAAUUGAGAGAUAUACGGGCGUUGAAUCUGACAUUGCUUAGCGUUGAAACUCAUUUUUUUCUUGGUAAAUUCCAACCAGAGCGCAAAAUAAAGCUCCG